rnacentral:rRNA from 1 species
GCAUAUCAAUAAGCGGAGGAAAAGAAACCAACAGGGAUUGCCCCAGUAACGGCGAGUGAAGCGGCAACAGCUCAAAUUUGAAAUCUGGCUUCGGCCCGAGUUGUAAUUUGCAGAGGAAGCUUUAGGCGCGGCACCAUCUGAGUCCCCUGGAACGGGGCGCCACAGAGGGUGAGAGCCCCGUAUAGAUGGACGCCUAGCCUGUGUAAAGCUCCUUCGACGAGUCGAGUAGUUUGGGAAUGCUGCUCUAAAUGGGAGGUAAAUUUCUUCUAAAGCUAAAUACCGGCCAGAGACCGAUAGCGCACAAGUAGAGUGAUCGAAAGAUGAAAAGCACUUUGAAAAGAGGGUUAAAUAGCACGUGAAAUUGUUGAAAGGGAAGCGCUUGUGACCAGACUUGCGCCGGGCGGAUCAUCCGGUGUUCUCACCGGUGCACUCCGCCCGGCUCAGGCCAGCAUCGGUUCUCGUGGGGGGACAAAGGUCCCGGGAACGUAGCUCCUCCGGGAGUGUUAUAGCCCGGGGCGUAAUGCCCUCGCGGGGACCGAGGACCGCGCUUCGGCAAGGAUGCUGGCGUAAUGGUCAUCAGCGACCCGUCUUGAAACACGGACCAAGGAGUCAAGGUUUUGCGCGAGUGUUUGGGUGUAAAACCCGCACGCGUAAUGAAAGUGAACGUAGGUGAGAGCUUCGGCGCAUCAUCGACCGAUCCUGAUGUUUUCGGAUGGAUUUGAGUAGGAGCGUUAAGCCUUGGACCCGAAAGAUGGUGAACUAUGCUUGGAUAGGGUGAAGCCAGAGGAAACUCUGGUGGAGGCUCGCAGCGGUUCUGACGUGCAAAUCGAUCGUCAAAUCUGAGCAUGGGGGCGAAAGACUAAUCGAACCAUCUAGUAGCUGGUUACCGCC